NNNGGAUUAGCUCAGUUGGUAGAGCGCGCGGUUCGGGACCGCGAGGCCAGCCGUUCAAGUCGGCUAUCCCCGA
rfam:Candidatus Gottesmanbacteria bacterium RIFCSPLOWO2_02_FTLL_38_8 rifcsplowo2_02_scaffold_15053, whole genome shotgun sequence.